GGCGGCCUACGGGGGGCAGCAGUGGGGAAUUUUGGACAAUGGGCGCAAGCCUGAUCCAGCUAUUCCGCGUGUGGGAUGAAGGCCCUCGGGUUGUAAACCACUUUUGUAGAGAACGAAAAGACACCUUCGAAUAAAGGGUGUUGCUGACGAUACUCUAAGAAUAAGCACCGGCUAACUACGUGCCAGCAGCCGCGGUAAUACGUAGGGUGCGAGCGUUAAUCGGAAUUACUGGGCGUAAAGGGUGCGCAGGCGGUUGAGUAAGACAGAUGUGAAAACCCCGGGCUUAACUCGGGAAU
rnacentral:rRNA from 1 species